GCUCAGGAUGAACGCUGGCGGCGUGCUUAACACAUGCAAGUCGAACGGGAUCCCGGGGGUUCGCUCCCGGGUGAGAGUGGCGAACGGGUGAGUAAUGCGUGACCGACCUGCCCCAUACACCGGAAUAGCUCCUGGAAACGGGUGGUAAUGCCGGAUGCUCCGGUUGGAUGCAUGUCCUUCCGGGAAAGAUUCUAUCGGUAUGGGAUGGGGUCGCGUCCUAUCAGCUUGAUGGCGGGGUAACGGCCCACCAUGGCUUCGACGGGUAGCCGGCCUGAGAGGGCGACCGGCCACAUUGGGACUGAGAUACGGCCCAGACUCCUACGGGAGGCAGCAGUGGGGAAUAUUGCACAAUGGGCGCAAGCCUGAUGCAGCGACGCCGCGUGCGGGAUGGAGGCCUUCGGGUUGUAAACCGCUUUUGAUCGGGAGCAAGCCCUUCGGGGUGA
rnacentral:rRNA from 1 species